rnacentral:rRNA from 1 species
UACAGAGGGGGCAAGCGUUGUUCGGAAUUACUGGGCGUAAAGGGCGCGUAGGCGGCCUGUUAAGUCGAACGUGAAAUCCCCGGGCUCAACCCGGGAACUGCGCCCGAUACUGGCAGGCUUGAAUUCGGGAGAGGGAUGUGGAAUUCCAGGUGUAGCGGUGAAAUGCGUAGAUAUCUGGAGGAACACUGGUGGCGAAGGCGGCAUCCUGGACCGAUAUUGACGCUGAGGCACGAAAGCGUGGGUAGCAAACAGG